rnacentral:rRNA from 1 species
CUGGCUCAGGAUGAACGCUAGCUACAGGCUUAACACAUGCAAGUCGAGGGGCAGCAGGGAUUUAGCUUGCUAAAUCCGCUGGCGACCGGCGCACGGGUGCGUAACGCGUAUCCAACCUUCCCGUUACUCUUGGAUAGCCUUCCGAAAGGGAGAUUAAUACAAGAUGGUGUUUCAAAUUCGCAUGUUAUUUGAAUUAAAGAUUUAUCGGUAACGGAUGGGGAUGCGUUCCAUUAGCUUGUUGGCGGGGUAACGGCCCACCAAGGCAACGAUGGAUAGGGGUUCUGAGAGGAAGGUCCCCCACACUGGAAGUGAGACACGGUCCAGACUCCUACGGGAGGCAGCAGUGAGGAAUAUUGGUCAAUGGUCGAGAGACUGAACCAGCCAAGUAGCGUGAAGGAUGAAGGUUCUAUGGAUUGUAAACUUCUUUUAUAAGGGAAUAAAACCACCUACGUGUAGGUGCUUGUAUGUACCUUAUGAAUAAGCAUCGGCUAACUCCGUGCCAGCAGCCGCGGUAAUACGGAGGAUGCGAGCGUUAUCCGGAUUUAUUGGGUUUAAAGGGAGCGUAGACGGGAGAUUAAGUCAGUUGUGAAAGUUUGAGGCCCAACCUUAAAAUUGCAGUUGAUACUGGUUUCCUUGAGUGCGGUUGAGGUGUGUGGAAUUCGUGGUGUAGCGGUGAAAUGCUUAGAUAUCACGAAGAACUCCGAUUGCGAAGGCAGUACACUAAGCCGUAACUGACGUUGAGGCUCGAAAGUGUGGGUAUCAAACAGGAUUAGAUACCCUGGUAGUCCACACGGUAAACGAUGAAUACUCGCUGUUGGCGAUAUACAGUCAGCGGCCAAGCGAAAGCAUUAAGUAUUCCACCUGGGGAGUACGCCGGCAACGAUAAAACUCAAAGAAAUUGACGGGGACCCGCACAAGCGGUGGAGUAUGUGGCUUAAUUCGAUGCAACGCGAAGAACCUUACCAAGGCUUGACAUCCCGUGACCGACUAUGAAAGUAGUUUUUCUAUUCGUAGACACGGAGACAGGUGCUGCAUGGCCGUCGUCAGCUCGUGUCGUGAGAUGUUUGGUUAAGUCCAGCAACGAGCGCAACCCCUGCUGCCAGUUACCAGCGAGUAAAGUCGGGGACUCUGGCGGGACUGCCCAGAUCAACUGGGAGGAAGGUGGGGACGACGUCAGGUCAGUAUGGCCCUUAUGCCUUGGGCUGCACACGUACUACAAUGCCCAGUACAGAGGGAAACAAGCGAGCGAUCGCAAGCGGAUCCCCGAAAGUGGGCCCAGUUCGGAUUGGAG